rnacentral:rRNA from 1 species
ACACAUGCAAGUCGAGGGGUAACAGAGGUAGCUUGCUACUUGCUGACGACCGGCGCACGGGUGCGUAACGCGUAUAGAACCUACCUUAUAGAAGGGAAUAGCCCAGAGAAAUUUGGAUUAAUGCCCUAUAGUAUUAUCGAUUGGCAUCGAUUGAUAAUUAAAGAUUUAUCGCUAUAAGAUGGCUAUGCGUUCUAUUAGCUAGUUGGUAUGGUAACGGCAUACCAAGGCAACGAUAGAUAGGGGUCCUGAGAGGGAGAUCCCCCACACUGGUACUGAGACACGGACCAGACUCCUACGGGAGGCAGCAGUGAGGAAUAUUGGACAAUGGAGGCAACUCUGAUCCAGCCAUGCCGCGUGCAGGAAGACUGCCCUAUGGGUUGUAAACUGCUUUUAUAGAGGAAGAACUAGUGCUACGUGUAGCACCUUGACGGUACUCUACGAAUAAGGAUCGGCUAACUCCGUGCCAGCAGCCGCGGUAAUACGGAGGAUCCAAGCGUUAUCCGGAAUCAUUGGGUUUAAAGGGUCCGUAGGCGGGUCUGUAAGUCAGUGGUGAAAGUUUACGGCUCAACCGUGAAAUUGCCAUUGAUACUGCAGGUCUUGAAUUAUUGUGAAGUGGUUAGAAUAUGUAGUGUAGCGGUGAAAUGCAUAGAUAUUACAUAGAAUACCGAUUGCGAAGGCAGAUCACUAACAAUAUAUUGACGCUAAGGGACGAAAGCGUGGGUAGCGAACAGGAUUAGAUACCCUGGUAGUCCACGCCGUAAACGAUGGUUACUAGCUGUUCGGACUUCGGUCUGAGUGGCUAAGCGAAAGUGAUAAGUAACCCACCUGGGGAGUACGUUCGCAAGAAUGAAACUCAAAGGAAUUGACGGGGCCCGCACAAGCGGUGGAGCAUGUGGUUUAAUUCGAUG